rnacentral:rRNA from 1 species
AUUGAACGCUGGCGGCAGGCUUAACACAUGCAAGUCGAGCGAAGAUGAGGUGCUUGCACCUUAUCUUAGCGGCGGACGGGUGAGUAAUGCUUAGGAAUCUGCCUAUUAGUGGGGGACAACAUUCCGAAAGGAAUGCUAAUACCGCAUACGUCCUACGGGAGAAAGCAGGGGAUCUUCGGACCUUGCGCUAAUAGAUGAGCCUAAGUCGGAUUAGCUAGUUGGUGGGGUAAAGGCCUACCAAGGCGACGAUCUGUAGCGGGUCUGAGAGGAUGAGCAGCACAACUGGGACUGAGACACGGCCCAGACUCCUACGGAAGGCAGCAGUGGUGAAUAUUGGAAAAUGGGGGAAACCCUGAUCCAGCCAUGCCGCGUGUGUGAAGAAGGCCUUGUGGUUGUAAAGCACUUUAAGCGAGGAGGAGGCUACUGAGACUAAUACUCUUGGAUAGUGGACGUUACUCGCAGAAUAAGCACCGGCUAACUCUGUGCCAGCCGCCGCAGUAA